AGUGUAGGCGGAAAUUCAAGUCAGAAGUGUAAUCUCCGGGCUCAACUCGGAUCUCGCUUUUGAAACUGUUUUUCUUGAGUAGUGGAGAGGGAGAUGGAAUUCCAGGUGUAGCGGUGGAAUGCGUAGAUAUCUGGAAGAACACCAGUAGCGAAGGCGAUCUCCUGGCCACAUACUGACGCUGAGGCUCGAAAGCGUGGGGAGCAAACAGGAUUAGAUACCCUGGUAGUCC
rnacentral:rRNA from 1 species